rnacentral:rRNA from 1 species
UGAAUUUAAGCAUAUCACUAAGCGGAGGAAAAGAAACUAACAAGGAUUCCCCUAGUAGCGGCGAGCGAAGAGGGAAAAGCCCAGCACCGAACCUCGCGCCUUCGGGUGUCGCGGAAUGUGGUGUUCAGGAGGACCGUGCGCGCCUGUCCGGUAUCGUCCAAGUUCCCAUGAAUGGGGCCAGUUACCCAGAGAGGGUGUCAGGCCCGUAGGACGAGCCGCGACUGCGUAUUGGGUCUCUCCUUAGAGUCGGGUUGCUUGAGAGUGCAGCCCUAAGCGGGAGGUAAACUCCUUCUAAGGCUAAAUACGGCCACGAGACCGAUAGCAAACAAGUACCGCGAGGGAAAGUUGAAAAGAACUUUGAAGAGAGAGUUCAAGAGUGCGUGAAACCGUUCAGGGGGUUAAACGGGUGGGCCCUCGAAGGUCGAACGGUCCCCAUCACGGCUCUCGCGCGGCGGUCCGCGGCGUUGUCCGAUUCCUCUCGGAACGGCGCGCUGCGGUUUUCCGCUGUGCGGGGGCUGUUAGCUGGGGGCCCAGUAGGACUCCGCAACCGGCUGGGUUUUAGGCCGUCAGAAGGGUUCUGGAGGAAGCCUCCUCGCGGGGUGGAUUCCGGGAUUCCGGGCGGUCCUCUCGGCCGUGUAACCCAAAUUUCUCUCGUUGAGGGAGAAGAGCGCGGAGAGUAGAGUCGGGUCCCACCCGACCCGUCUUGAAACACGGACCAAGGAGUCUAACAUGUACGCGAGUCGUCGGGUACUACUAAACCCGAAGGCGCAAUGAAAGUGAAAGCCGCCCUCGUUGGCGGCCGAGGGGAGAUCCCGUUCUGCUCCGGUAGCUCGGGCGCAUCCCCGGGGCGUCGAAGCCGCGUUGCCGGCUAGACGCACCAAGAGCGUACACGUUGGGACCCGAAAGAUGGUGACCUAUGCCUGACCAGGACGAAGCCAGGGGAAACCCUGGUGGAGGUCCGCAGCGAUUCUGACGUGCAAAUCGAUCGUCUGAGUUGGGUAUAGGGGCGAAAGACUAAUCGAACCAUCUAGUAGCUGGUUCCCCCCGAAGUUC